rnacentral:lncRNA from 1 species
CCAGGCCGGACCGAAAUUAUCUGGGCGGUGCCCGGGAAGUCAGGGGGCUGGCCGAGGUCCCUCCUCCUGCGGGGCCGCGCUGGGCCUGUCGGAAGCGAGUCCCUCUCUGUACAGAAACUGGGAGGGAGCUGGUGCAGCCAGGGCCCCUCCUGCUGCAGAGCGCGGCUGGGUGUGAUCUAGUUUGAGGUUCUCCUGCUCCGGGGCGCGGCCGGGAGCCGGUUUGGUUGAAGCUCUCCCGCCGCAAAGGAGACCAGCUGUUGUUGAGGGUUUCUGGCCGGCCUGUGGGAAUCUGGGGCCUGCCCACCCAGACCCAGCCUCGCGUCUCUUUUCUUCCCUCAGGUUGUUAACGCCACCUACCCCGGGGGCUCUCUGUGCAGGAGGUGGUAGCCUAGGCCUCCCGGCAGCAGAACCAGGCAAGUGAGGCUUCCUUUACCCAGAGGCCACCCCAGCCUCAGAACUUGGACGCGUUUUCUUCCACUGGCAGGGAAAGAGGAAGCUGUGAAAGGAAGAAGAAGAAAACAACCUCUGCCCCAGCCCUGGAGACAGAGGAGACAAGGAGAGACCCUGCCACACCAGCCCCCUCCCAGGUCCAGCAGGAGGCAUAGAAGAGGAAUUUAUGUAUAAUCAAUUCUCAGAGGACUCGGGUGCUCUAUUUGCCUGAAGAAUAUGAGGUCUCUGUGAGAGAGAUUGGGACCCACCACGAAGGUGAUGACCAGAAGAGAGUGUCUGCAGAAUUAAGCUCAGAAAAGGAGUUCUCAGACCUCGCUGCAUUGGAAUCAGCAGAGUGCUCGAAAGAGACUCUUGGAAGUGGGAGAACAGUGGAAAGCUGCCUCUGGUGCCUUUGUGGCUCCAGCAGUUGCAGGUGCUGAGGUCCUGGCCCAUCUGCAACCACCGUGCUCCUGCUGACUGUGGCUAGGGGCUGCCCCCAGCAUACUCUCCGCGGAUCUCAGGACCUAUGAGAAACCCAGCACCUGGAAAAGCUUGAAGAGGAGAUGACACUGGUAGAGGAGACUAUCUGGACAUUUGAAGGCAGAGGUGAGAACUGCCACAAAUGUGAAGCAUGGGGAGAGCACGAUUUCCCCAAUAUGUGAGUGCUUUUUGAUUCUCCGGGGAAAUGGUUUUACAGAGAAAGUAGAACAAGAAAAAUGCUAGCAUUCGGUCCUGGGAGAAGAGUGAGCAUCUGCCUCCCGGAAGCAAUGAAUGAGAGUCCCGAGUCUCCGUGGGCCUCCAGCCCAGACGGUAGCUGUUCUGAGUUUCAAG